rnacentral:rRNA from 1 species
AACGCGAAGAACCUUACCUGGGCUCGAAAUGGAGUGGACCGGGGUGGAAACAUCCCUUCCCCGCAAGGGGCUGCUCUAUAGGUGCUGCAUGGCUGUCGUCAGCUCGUGUCGUGAGAUGUUGGGUUAAGUCCCGCAACGAGCGCAACCCUUAUUACCAGUUGCCAUCAUUCAGUUGGGCACUCCGGUGAGACCGCCUCGGAUAACGGGGAGGAAGGCGGGGAUGACGUCAAGUCCUCAUGGCCUUUAUGUCCAGGGCUACACACGUGCUACAAUGGCCGGUACAAACCGUCGCAAACCCGCGAGGGGGAGCUAAUCGGAAAAAGCCGGCCUCAGUUCGGAUUGCAGUCUGCAACUCGACUGCAUGAAGCUGGAAUCGCUAGUAAUCGCGGAUCAGAACGCCGCGGUGAAUACGUUCCCGGGCCUUGUACACACCGCGCAUA